CCUACGGGAGGCAGCAGUGGGGAAUUGUUCACAAUGGGCGCAAGCCUGAUGACGCAACGCCGCGUGGGGGAUGAAGGUCUUCGGAUCGUAAACCCCUGUCGAAUGGGACGAAUAGUCUCCGGACCAAUACCCCGGAGGAAUGACGGUACCGUUAAAGGAAGCCACGGCUAACUCUGUGCCAGCAGCCGCGGUAAUACAGAGGUGGCAAGCGUUGUUCGGAAUUACUGGGCGUAAAGGGCGCGUAGGCGGCCAUCUAAGUCAGACGUGAAAUCCCCCGGCUCAACCUGGGAACUGCGUCUGAUACUGGAAGGCUAGAGUUUGGGAGAGGGAUGUAGAAUUCCAGGUGUAGCGGUGAAAUGCGUAGAUAUCUGGAGGAAUACCGGUGGCGAAGGCGGCAUCCUGGACCAAUACUGACGCUGAGGCGCGAAAGCUAGGGGAGCAAACGGGAUUAGAUACCCCGGUAGUCCUAGCCCUAAACGAUGAAUACUUGGUGUGGCGGGUAUCGAUCCCUGCCGUGCCGAAGCUAACGCAUUAAGUAUUCCGCCUGGGGAGUACGGUCGCAAGGCUGAAACUUAAANGAAUUGACGG
rnacentral:rRNA from 1 species